rnacentral:rRNA from 1 species
UACGUAGGGUGCGAGCGUUGUCCGGAAUUAUUGGGCGUAAAGAGCUCGUAGGCGGUGUGUCGCGUCGGCCGUGAAAACCUGGGGCUCAACUCUGGGCGUGCGGUCGAUACGCGCAUCACUUGAGUUCGGCAGGGGAGACUGGAAUUCCUGGUGUAGCGGUGAAAUGCGCAGAUAUCAGGAGGAACACCGGUGGCGAAGGCGGGUCUCUGGGCCGAUACUGACGCUGAGGAGCGAAAGCAUGGGUAGCGAACAGG